AUGAGCGCAGAGCUGGUGGAGGGAGAGCUCCCCCAAGCCCCUUCUGUGUUCCCUUUGUUCCCCUGUUGUGAUGACAUUGCCGGGAGCCCCUCUUGUGAGGUGACCGUAGCCUGCCUGGUGACCGGCUAUUUCCCGGAGCCCGUGAAUGUCAAGUGGAAUUCCGGCAGAGUGACCAACGGGAUCAAGACCUUCCCAGCCAUGGCACAGAGCAGUGGCAGGGCCUUCACCCUCGUCAGCCAGCUCACCGUCCCUGCCUCGGACCUGGCGCACCACACCUACCAGUGCAGUGUGGAGCACACUCCCUCCCGUAAAAAGAUAGAUGUGGAGAUCACGAACGUAUGUGAGGCUCUUAUUCAUCCUGAAGUUCGCCUCCUGGGCCCCUCCUGUGAGCGCAACGCCAUGGAGAAGCAGAUGGAGGUGGUUUGCCUCCUCCUAAGAUUCAGCCCCCAUGCAGCCAAAGUGGAAUGGCUGGUGAACGGCGAGAAGAGGAACCUUCCCACAGACUUCUCCGUUGGGAAGGGCACAGAUGGCACCUACAUGGGCCAAAGCCGAGUGAACAUCACCAAGGAGAGCUGGGAGCAGGGGGAUGUUUACACCUGUCAAGUGACCCACCCAGCGAGGGGACUGGAGCGCUCCAUGCACAACACCAGCAAGUGCUUGGCCUGCCUCAGUAACUCAGUGGCUCCAUCCGUCUAUGUCACUGAACCGUCCUACGAUGACCUGAUUGGGAAGACAGCCCGUGUGACGUGCCUGGUGCUGGGCUAUAGCUUGGUAGAUGUUCGGGUGGUUUGGGAAGUGGAUGGGAAAGCCAGCUCUGAUGCGGAGACAGGAAACCCGGAACAAGCCAAUGGAACCCAGAGCGUCACUAGCACCCACAAAAUAACCUUAGAGCAAUGGAAGAGCAGGACCAAGUUCACUUGCAAAGUGAGACUUCCUUGUUUUGCAGAAGUCACCCAGGAUAUGCCACUCAUGGACACAACACGCGAGGGUCUCGUUCACCCUGAGGUUCGCUUCCUGGGCCCCUCCUGUGAGCGCAACGCCAUGGAGAAGCAGAUGGAGGUGGUUUGCCUCCUCCUAAGAUUCAGCCCUCAUGCAGCCAAAGUGGAAUGGCUGGUAAAUGGUGAGAAGAGGAACCUUCCCACCAUGGACUUCUCCGUUGGGAAGGGCACAGAUGGCUCCUACAUGGGCCAGAGCCGAGUGAACAUCACCAAGGAGAGCUGGGAGAAGGGGGACGUCUACACCUGUAAAGUGACCCACCCAGCAUGGGGAACGGAGCACUCCAUGCACAACACCAGCAAGUGCUUGGCCUGCCUCAGUAACUCAGUGGCUCCAUCCGUCUAUGUCACUGAACCGUCCUACGAUGACCUAAUUGGGAAGACAGCCCGUGUGACGUGCCUGGUGCUGGGCUAUAGCUUGGUAGAUGUUUGGGUGGCUUGGGAAGUGGAUGGGAAAGCCAGCUCUGAUGCGGAGACAGGAAACCCGGAACAAGCCAAUGGAACCCAGAGCGUCACUAGCACCCACAAAAUAACCUUGGAGCAAUGGAAGAGCAGGACCAAGUUCACUUGCAAAGUGAGACUUCCUUGUUUUGCAGAAGUCACCCAGGAUAUGCCACUCAUGGACACAAGUGGUGGCAACUGUAAUCGACACCCUCUGGAGGUCUUUCUCCUUCCCCCUUCCCUGGAGGACCUCUACAUAGCACAGAACGCCACCAUCACUUGUUUGGUGAGUGGCAUGGAGACCCCUGGCAGCCUGGAGGUCUCCUGGAGCCGGGGUAUCGGGGGCCCGUUGGACGUGGUCUACAGGGAGCCGGUGCUGCAGGAAAAUGGCACUUACAGUGCAACCAGCAUCCUGCGGGUGUGCGUGGAGGAGUGGCAGGCGGGGGAGGAGUUCACCUGCACCGUGAAACACCGAGACAUCCCGUCGGCCAUUGUCAAGACCAUCCACAAGAUUCAUGAAGUCUCUCCUCGUAACCCUUCUGUCUACAUCUCCCCUCCUCACGCUGAGGAGCUGUCUCUCCGGGAAUCAGCCACCAUCACCUGCCUGGCCUCCGGUUUCUGGCCCAGAGACAUCCUGGUGACAUGGACCCAGCAGGACCGGCCCGUGCCCCAGGAAGCCUACACCAACAUUGGGCCCGUCCGGGAGGCUGGGAAGGAGGAGCUCUACUUCAUCUACAGCAAACUCAAUGUCUUGGCGUCCGAAUGGCAGCGGGGGGACACCUACGCCUGCGUGGUGGGGCACGAGGGUCUGCCCAUGACCUUCAUCCACCGGAGCGUGGACAAAGCCUCCGGUAAACCCACCACCGUCAAUGUCUCUGUGAUCUUGUCUGACACCGACGUCACUUGCUACUGAGGAGCAAAGCCCCGCGGGCUCCUCACGGCGUAUCUGAGAUGCCACGGAACCUCGUGGGGUUUGGGAUUCCUCUUAGCCUGUGUGUAAAGCUGUGGGAGCUCUGGUGUACAGAGCGUGGCUGUAUGUGGAAUAUGCCCCAAUAAAAAUGCA